UACCGGGGUAGGCCCCUCCCCCUGGGGGCGCCAGGGGCCCUAGGCAGAUAGCUCCGAAUCCCUUCCCCCCGCUAGGCAUGGGGGCGGGGCGCUGAGCCCCCCAGCAGCCUCCCCCCCCCGCCCCCGGCUCGCGCCUUCCUCCGCUCAGGGUUCUCCCGCCCCGGGAUUCCCCUCUCGGCCUCUCCCGCCCCAUGCGGGGCUGGGCAGUGCCCCGGGAGCUGCGGCCGGUAUAAAGCGAGCGGAGCGGCAGGCGGCUUGCUCAUAGUCGCUAUGCUGGGUGCUCCUGCUGCUCGGUCUGGGUAGCGUCCGCUGCCCUCCGGGGGCCUCUCCGCCCUGUCCCUGGCCUCCGGCGCGGCCCCCGGGGAGAGCUCAGUCCGCCCCGCCGCCGUCUACCAGACCCGCUACUUCCCCAGAAGAUUGAUCAUUUAGGA